AUCACUCCUGAUAAUUGAGUUAAUUUUUGAAAAAUUGUGUUUAAUUGGUUAUUUGCUUGGGGAAAAAAUUGGAUCCCUACUUCAAAUAAUCAUAUGUUUGAGUUAAAGAUUUAUCUUUUAAAAGUCAUAUUUUAAAACUUAAAAACAUAUUCACUUGACCUGAGCAUGUGAAGAAAAAUGUUGAGAUAAAAUGAAAAGGCAUAGCCAUUAAAGAAAGACACGAGGGGCAGGGGAUGUGGCUCAAAUGGUAGCGCGCUCACCUGGCAUGCGUGAGGCACUGGGUUCGAUUCUCAGCACCACAUAAAAAGUCAAAAAGCCAAAAGAUAUUUUCAAAAUAAAGGGUUAUUUUAUGAAACAAAAAUGCAGAGAAAAUCUAAAAGGCUGAUAAACCAAUACAAAAAAUAUUCUUCAUUGAUGUUGGAGAAAUAGUAACUAAAAGACAAGUUACUACAUCAAAUUAGCAAAAAAAAAAUGCAAGUUUCAAAAUAUCAAGUGUUAAGUACAUGAAGCAGUGGGAACUCUUACUGUUGGUGGAGAGACACUGGCACAAUAAUCAGUUUACUGUAUCUAGUAAACUAAGUUCCCUUGUCACCUCAGAAAAGUGCUUGUGAGUGUGUGUAAGGACACAUCUGCAAAAACACUCAUGGCAGCCUGUAUACAACAGAAGGUGAUCCUAAUGAGUGUUCAACACUGGGAACACUCACAUGAGAGGCUUCUGUGCAACAGUCAGAGCGAACAAGCUAGAGUCAUGGAUCAGCAAAGACGGUUAAAAGUAACUGAGAAAAGGUGUGUUUUAUGAUACCAAUUAUAUAAAGCAUAAAAUAUGCUAAAUGACAUAUAUUGUGGCUGUGUAGAUAGAAAAAAAUAAAAUAUGCACACAUUUAUUUGCUAGUGGUUACUUUAGGAACCAACAAAGGAAGAUGAAAUUGAGAUUUACAGGAGGUAUCAAUUGUAUUUUAUUUUAUAAACUGUGAAAACAAGUGUUUCAACUUUAGGUUUUAUAUAUUCUAGAAGCAGUUAAUGUUUUAAAGGUCACGUGGGACUUGGGAGGAUAUGAGUCAUUAAUACACACAUGAUCUAAAAAGUUUCCCUGUCUACACCAUUUUAGAAGAUGUUACCAUCUCAUUUGAGAAGUUUGAGAACGGUUUUCACCUAUCAUUUCCUCAUGUCACAGUAAAAGUGAGAAACGGGAAUGGUCCAGAAUCAAACUUUUGAGUUUCAUAUUUAAUUUUUGACAUCUAGACAUUGUUUUUUGCCUUUCCUCCCUCAAUGAGAUUAUUUAGAAUAGUUUAAAAUUACAGUUUAUAUUUUAUAUGUAAUAAAGUAUGAAACACCCCCCCUUUUUUUUUGUCCCCAGCAUCUCACAUCCCUCUCUGAUGAUUAUGGCUGUUAAUAUUUUG
rnacentral:lncRNA from 1 species